UACAGAGGUGGCAAGCGUUGUUCGGAAUUACUGGGCGUAAAGGGCGCGUAGGCGGCCAUCUAAGUCAGACGUGAAAUCCCCGGGCUUAACCUGGGAACUGCAUUUGUGACUGCACGGCUGGAGUGCGGCAGAGGGGGAUGGAAUUCCGCGUGUAGCAGUGAAAUGCGUAGAUAUGCGGAGGAACACCGAUGGCGAAGGCAAUCCCCUGGGCCUGCACUGACGCUCAUGCACGAAAGCGUGGGGAGCAAACAGG
rnacentral:rRNA from 1 species